AGCGAACGCUGGCGGCAUGCCUAACACAUGCAAGUCGCACGGGGGGGCUUCGGCCUCCCAGUGGCGGACGGGUGAGGAACGCGUAGGGACCUGUCGAGGGGUGGGGGAUAACCGCGGGAAACUGCGGCUAAUACCGCAUGACGCCGCGGCGUGACAGCCGGGGCCAAAGGCGAAAGCCGCCCGCCGAGGGGCCUGCGUCCGAUUAGCUGGUUGGCGGGGUAGCGGCCCACCAAGGCGUCGAUCGGUAGCUGGUCUGAGAGGGUGAUCAGCCACACCGGGACUGAGACGCGGCCCGGACUCCUACGGGAGGCAGCAGUGGGGAAUAUUGGACAGUGGGCGCAAGCCUGAUCCAGCAAUGCCGCGUGGGUGAAGAAGGUCUUCGGAUUGUAAAGCCCUUUCGGCGGGGACGAUGGUGACGGUACCCGCAGAAGAAGCCCCGGCUAACUUCGUG
rnacentral:rRNA from 1 species